UUAAGGCCUUCUCGAUGAAUGGGGGAGGGAGGUAUCGCAAGCUAGACAAAGACAAAAUUCUUGCCAAUUUAGAAUCCUCAGAGACUAUAUGCCAAGUCCUGCCACACGGCAGGAAAGAUAUAGUCCGAACUGCAUAGCGAUAUGUAG
rnacentral:autocatalytically_spliced_intron from 2 species